UACGUAGGUGGCAAGCGUUAUCCGGAAUUAUUGGGCGUAAAGCGCACGUAGGCGGAUACUUAAGUCAGGGGUGAAAUCCCGAGGCUCAACCUCGGAACUGCCUUUGAUACUGGGUAUCUCGAGUCCGGAAGAGGUGAGUGGAAUUCCGAGUGUAGAGGUGAAAUUCGUAGAUAUUCGGAGGAACACCAGUGGCGAAGGCGGCUCACUGGUCCGGUACUGACGCUGAGGCGCGAAAGCCAGGGGAGCAAACGGG
rnacentral:rRNA from 1 species